ACGGGGAGCACCACACAGGUGGAGCCUGCGGUUUAAUCGGACUCAACGCCGGGAAACUCACCAGAUAAGACAGCUGAAUGAUAGUCGGGCUGAAGACUCUACUUGACUAGCUGAGAGGAGGUGCAUGGCCGUCGUCAAUUCGUACUGUGAAGCAUCCUGUUAAGUCAGGCAACGAGCGAGACCCACGCCAACAGUUGCCAGCUCGUCCUCCGGGAUGGUGGGGACACUGUUGGGACCGCCUCUGCUAAAGAGGAGGAAGGAAUGGGCAACGGUAGGUCAGCAUGCCCCGAAUUAUCUGGGCUACACGCGGGCUCCAAUGGUUGGUACAAUGGGUAUCUACCCCGAAAGGGGACGGGAAUCUCCUAAAACCAAUCUUAGUUCGGAUUGAGGGCUGCAACUCGCCCUCAUGAAGCUGGAAUCCGUAGUAAUCGCGUUUCAACAGAACGCGGUGAAUACGUCCCUGCUCCUU
rnacentral:rRNA from 1 species